UACGUAGGGUGCAAGCGUUGUCCGGAAUUAUUGGGCGUAAAGAGCUCGUAGGCGGUUUGUUGCGUCGGCUGUGAAAUCCCGAGGCUCAACCUCGGGUCUGCAGUCGAUACGAGCAAACUAGAGUGUUGCAGGGGAGACUGGAAUUCCUGGUGUAGCAGUGAAAUGCGUAGAUAUCGAGAGGAACACCAGUGGCGAAGGCGAGUCUCUGGACGACUCCUGACGAGCUGAGGCACGAAAGCUAGGGGAGCCAAACAGG
rnacentral:rRNA from 1 species